ACUUCAAACGUCAUUUAAAAACCACAUUACAGGGUAACUGCUAGUCACUGGACUGUGCUAGUUACACAAGUGCUUAGCAAUGGCGUUUGCUUCUCGGAGGUGUGGGCAGCCUCUAACACUUAAACUGCUGGCAAUCUGAGAUUAGCCAAGAAAGAAAGGGAAUUCUACGCCUUUCGGAGCAGGUCAUUGUUCAUCACUCGGGAAGGAGACCUUUCCAAGGUGUAGCUCAGAGGUGGGAAAAGACACAAUAGAAGACAAGUUCAAGGAAGAAGAAGUGCUGUUUCAAGCUUGACACUGCUCAGUGGCCAACGGCCGGUGAAGACAGGAGCCCUGCUUGGCAAAAUUAGCCCGGCCCUUCUCUGUGACAGCUUGGAAGACUGGUGGGGAUGAUGCGGGGUGGGGGGGUGGGGGUGCAUCAUGAUGGUUCAUUUCAAGGCUACUUCAAGCUCUUGCGUCCCCGUCUUGCCGGACUUUCCUCUCCUCUCUAGCUAUAAAACGGCAGCCUUUUAUUAAUGAGGUCCCAAAGGGGAAAGAAAUUUCUGAAACCGGGCACUGCUCAGUUCCAUCACUGUUAGGCUGGCCCCACAAAGCCUCUUCUAGCAGAAACUACAAACUCACAGGAACUAUUCCUGCAGGAGAAAGGAAGUUCUCUCCGCGGGAAUCCAUUAUAGGGUCUGCUUCCCUUCCCCCAAGUCUUAAGCCCUGAGAUUAUAUUAAAACUUUGUCAUCCCGGAAACACACCUAUGCAUUCAUUCACACAUAGGCGUGGCCGCAUGUCUGCAGGCAUAUGCAUGUAAUCAUGCACUUAGGUUAAGUUUUAAAGGGAUUCUACAAGGGAAGUUCUACUUGAGAAUUAGUUCUUCCUAUGGCCUGGUAUAUAAAUGAGAAGGUUAAGUUCACAAACUACGGUGCUGUAGGCUAUAGAAAUAUCUACUCACAACCUGCUUGUAUCUCAGGGGGAGUAUUCAAAAGCAUCAUGGCACUGGCAGCAUCAAUGUCAGGAUCUGGAAAAAUCAACCAAUAAAUAACAUUAUUUACAACGGG